GGGGAGCCGCAGGGAAACCGAGUCUUAACUGGGCGUUAAGUUGCAGGGUAUAGACCCGAAACCCGGUGAUCUAGCCAUGGGCAGGUUGAAGGUUGGGUAACACUAACUGGAGGACCGAACCGACUAAUGUUGAAAAAUUAGCGGAUGACUUGUGGCUGGGGGGGAAAGGCCAAUCAAACCGGGAGAUAGCUGGUUCUCCCCGAAAGCUAUUUAGGUAGCGCCUCGUGAACUCAUCUUCGGGGGUAGAGCACUGUUUCGGCUAGGGGGUCAUCCCGACUUACCAACCCGAUGCAAACUACGAAUACCGAAGAAUGUUAUCACGGGAGACACACGGCGGGUGCUAACGUCCGUCGUGAAGAGGGAAACAACCCAGACCGCCAGCUAAGGUCCCAAAGUCAUGGUUAAGUGGGAAACGAUGUGGGAAGGCCCAGACAGCCAGGAUGUUGGCUUAGAAGCAGCCAUCAUUUAAAGAAAGCGUAAUAGCUCACUGGUCGAGUCGGCCUGCGCGGAAGAUGUAACGGGGCUAAACCAUGCACCGAAGCUGCGGCAGCGACGCUUAUGCGUUGUUGGGUAGGGGAGCGUUCUGUAAGCCGUUGAAGGUGGCCUGUGAGGGUUGCUGGAGGUAUCAGAAGUGCGAAUGCUGACAUAAGUAACGAUAAUGCGGGUGAAAAACCCGCACGCCGGAAGACCAAGGGUUCCUGUCCAACGUUAAUCGGGGCAGGGUGAGUCGACCCCUAAGGCGAGGCCGAAAGGCGUAGUCGAUGGGAAACAGGUUAAUAUUCCUGUACUCGGUGUUACUGCGAAGGGGGGACGGAGAAGGCUAUGUUGGCCGGGCGACGGUUGUCCCGGUUUAAGCAUGUAGGCGGAUGUUCCAGGUAAAUCCGGAACGUCACUAACGCUGAGGUGUGAUGACGAGGCACUACGGUGCUGAAGUGACAAAUGCCCUGCUUCCAGGAAAAGCCUCUAAGCAUCAGGUAACAUCAAAUCGUACCCCAAACCGACACAGGUGGUCAGGUAGAGAAUACCAAGGCGCUUGAGAGAACUCGGGUGAAGGAACUAGGCAAAAUGGUGCCGUAACUUCGGGAGAAGGCACGCUGAUGGUAAGUGAAGUGACUUGCUCAUGGAGCUGAAAUCAGUCGAAGAUACCAGCUGGCUGCAACUGUUUAUUAAAAACACAGCACUGUGCAAACACGAAAGUGGACGUAUACGGUGUGACGCCUGCCCGGUGCCGGAAGGUUAAUUGAUGGGGUUAUCCGUAAGGAGAAGCUCUUGAUCGAAGCCCCGGUAAACGGCGGCCGUAACUAUAACGGUCCUAAGGUAGCGAAAUUCCUUGUCGGGUAAGUUCCGACCUGCACGAAUGGCGUAAUGAUGGCCAGGCUGUCUCCACCCGAGACUCAGUGAAAUUGAACUCGCUGUGAAGAUGCAGUGUACCCGCGGCAAGACGGAAAGACCCCGUGAACCUUUACUAUAGCUUGACACUGAACACUGGUCCUUGAUGUGUAGGAUAGGUGGGAGGCUUUGAAGUGUGGACGCCAGUCUGCAUGGAGCCAUCCUUGAAAUACCACCCUUUAAUGGCUGGGGUUCUAACGUGGGCCCCUAAUCCGGGUUGCGGACAGUGUCUGGUGGGUAGUUUGACUGGGGCGGUCUCCUCCUAAAGAGUAACGGAGGAGCACGAAGGUCAGCUAAUCCUGGUCGGACAUCAGGAGGUUAGUGCAAUGGCAUAAGCUGGCUUGACUGCGAGCGUGACGGCGCGAGCAGGUGCGAAAGCAGGUCAUAGUGAUCCGGUGGUUCUGAAUGGAAGGACCAUCGCUCAACGGAUAAAAGGUACUCCGGGGAUAACAGGCUGAUACCGCCCAAGAGUUCAUAUCGACGGCGGUGUUUGGCACCUCGAUGUCGGCUCAUCACAUCCUGGGGCUGAAGUAGGUCCCAAGGGUAUGGCUGUUCGCCAUUUAAAGUGGUACGCGAGCUGGGUUUAGAACGUCGUGAGACAGUUCGGUCCCUAUCUGCCGUGGGCGCUGGAGAAUUGAGGGGGGCUGCUCCUAGUACGAGAGGACCGGAGUGGACGCAUCACUGGUGUUCGGGUUGUCAUGCCAAUGGCAUUGCCCGGUAGCUAAAUGCGGAAGAGAUAAGUGCUGAAAGCAUCUAAGCACGAAACUUGCCCCGAGAUGAGUUCUCCCUGACUCCCUGAGAGUCCUGAAGGAACGUUGAAGACGACGACGUUGAUAGGCCGGGUGUGUAAGCGCAGCGAUGCGUUGAGCUAACCGGUACUAAUGAACCGUGAGGCUUAACCUU
rnacentral:rRNA from 1 species